GAGGGUGUGUUGAUAAUCAUGUUGAUGGUAAACAAUCAGAAACAAUUAACAAUUUGUUAACAGUAACACAAGCAACAAACAUUAAUAAGAUCUUAAGCAAAAUCACAAGUUGUCUUGUCCAUUGUCGUCGCUAAUGGUUACACAAUGUAAUGCCAAUAAGAAAAGACGCUACCCUUUUUAAAUUUUGUCGUUUUCUUAAUUUUCUUUGCUUCUUUAUUCACUAAACAUUAUUCAAUUAUUUUUAAAUUAACAACCUUAAUCACGAAUGGCCAAUUUAAAUUGUAUUAAUUGUCUAGUUAAAUAAAGUCAACUUUAAACCUCCAUAGUGAAUUAAUUUAAAUAAUGACUCUCUUCAAACCAGAUAGAGUAAAAAACCAUUGGAUUUUCAACCUGAAGUAACCUUUUUUGUGUUUUUAUAAAAACAUGCUGCUUAAACAUAAAUUGUUAACCUUUUAAUGAACAUUGGGCCUACCUUGGAUUAUCAUAUUAUUAUAUUUCAUUGAUAAAUAAUGGCUUAAUGUCAAAAAAUACAUUCAAUUUUAAUGUAUAAGCGUUACAAAUCAGCUUCCAAAAGUAGCGCUCAAAAUAAUCACACACCCUUAAUAUACAAACAACAACAACAACAACAUGACUUCAUUUCAAUGUAACCAGUAAACAGUUUGUUGAAAAAAAAGGUAUUUCAAUGAAUUGCUAAAGGAUUUAUAAACAGUUAAAAACGUCAUUAACAACAACAACUUUCAUCAAUUGGUUUCCCCUUCAAUUACAGCCUUGGCUUCAUCAUCAUCAACUCUCUUCAUCAUCUCCCUUGUCAUCAAAAACCAACCUACCGUAAGCUGGAUAUUUUGACAAAACUUCAUCUUCACAACAAGACAUUUUCAAUUGAAAAUUUUACUUCAUUUUGUCCUAAAUAAGAUACUAAAGGUAACAGUUAACACAAAACUUUCUCCCAACAAUCAACUGUAAAUGAAAUGAAAAACGUGUCAUCCGUUAAUGUUGACAACCGAGAUAUAAAUACAAAAAAAAGACAUGAAACUCAAUCAUCAUGAUCAUGAUCAGUUACCAUCAUCAUCAUCAUCAACAUAAACAACAACAACCAGUCAACAAUAUUAAUCCAUCAAAGGGUUUCAACUCAUCUGCUGAAUGUACCAUCAGGAUCAUCAACACUAAUUAACCAGUUAGAUGACAAACUAGAUGCAUUUAUGUACCCUGUUGGGGUUAAUUUUAUUGACAGAGGACCGGAUGGAAGAGGCCAAAUACUCAUGGUUAAUGAAACCAAGGAGGGAAUGAUAAUGAUGACAACAAUCAUAUUAACAAUAAUGAAAGUGAUGGAACCCAAUCCAAGGAAAAAGACACAAAAAGAUAUACAAUAAUGAGACUAAUAACCUUAAUUGUUAUUUUCACCUCAAAUUAUUGUAGUCAACAUGAAAAGUCUCUCUCCAUUUUGAUCACAUUCAACAUUUGAUUCGGAAGACAAUACAAUAAAUACUAAUUGUAAUGACAAUUGUAAUAACAAUAAUCAAAUUGUGUGAUAUACGUGUUUAACUAAAUUAGUGUAUGUAAUAUAUUAAUUACCAUACACGUUACAACUGUUAGGCUUAGUUGUUGAAUAAUUAACUUGUUCACUCUCAUUGAUUUAAGGGAUUUAUGAUCAAUUGUAACCAACACUUACCAUGCAUAGCAAGGCAUUUGUGUUGUAACUUGUAUUGUAAUAGUCACUCAAAUAGCCAUUGUUGGAUGCAUUGAAGAGUGAAAGUUACCUUUAAUCAUUUUUUAUUUUGAUUAACAAAUGAUCAUUUCCCUGUAAUCAGUUUAUUGUUUCACCAUCAAUUGUUGUUGAACACAUUUGUUUCAUCCACACAAUUUGAUUAUUGUUAAGUGUCAAAUGUUCAGUUUAUUGUCAGCUUUUUUUGGUGUUACUUUCAAUAAGGUUGAAGGUGUUGUAUGGGACAAACCAAAAGUAGGCCUAGCAGGUAGAGACUGAGGAAGGAAGAUGAUAAAGAUGAGGAAGAUGGCGAGGCCUAGGGAUGUUCAGAACAGUUCAUCUGUGACUAAACCUCUCUCACAUUCACCUAUUUCAAAUUGAACAUGAUUGAUGACAAUUUGUAAACUAAAACCUUUGGUAAACCUUGAACGUGUUGUAAUAAUAAGCCUUAACUUCAUUUAUACUGAUUAACACUGUUGAAAUGUUAUCAGGAAACAAUGUUUCAUGCUAAAUAUCAUCAGAAUUGUCAAUAGCAAUAACAAUAGAUGGAUAUAAACUUGUUUUUUUGAUGUUAAGGUUCCAUAUUUAAUACAAUAAUAAUGAUCAUUCAAUGGUUAAUGGCUUCAAUCAAACAAUAUUUUCUCAGGUCAUCUUAUCUUCCCAUUCAUCUUGGCAUCAUGAGCUUCUUGACCACUUCAACCUGACCUGACUAUAUUUUAAUAUUUCUCAAA